rnacentral:tRNA from 1 species
GGGGAUGUGGCUCAGUGGUAGAGCACAUGCCUAGUAUGCAUGAGGCUCUGUGUUUGAUCCCCAGCACACACA